rnacentral:tRNA from 2 species
GGGUUGUUAGCUCAGUUGGUAGAGCAAGUGACUCUUAAUCACUGGGUCGUAGGUUCGAGUCCUACACAACCCACCA